rnacentral:rRNA from 1 species
ACGAACGCUGGCGGCGUGCUUAACACAUGCAAGUCGAGCGGAAAGGCCCUUUCGGGGGUACUCGAGCGGCGAACGGGUGAGUAACACGUGAGUAAUCUGCCCUUCACUUUGGGAUAACCCCCGGAAACGGGAGCUAAUACCGGAUAUGACCUGUCCCUGCAUGGGGGUGGGUGGAAAGUUUUUUCGGUGGAGGAUGUGCUCGCGGCCUAUCAGCUUGUUGGUGGGGUAAUGGCCUACCAAGGCUUUGACGGGUAGCCGGCCUGAGAGGGUGACCGGCCACACUGGGACUGAGACACGGCCCAGACUCCUACGGGAGGCAGCAGUGGGGAAUAUUGGACAAUGGGCGGAAGCCUGAUCCAGCAACGCCGCGUGAGGGAUGACGGCCUUCGGGUUGUAAACCUCUUUCAGCACCGACGAAGCGCAAGUGACGGUAGGUGCAGAAGAAGGACCGGCCAACUACGU